GGAGGAUACAACAGGUGGUGAGGAUUGCAUUGGGUCCAUGGCCCCUGCCCCCACCCAGCUCUGCCCGCCGGCUCACUCACAGAGCACAUUCACGGUCACCUCGCGGGUGACCUCCCCUUGAGUGCUCCUGGCCCGACAGAGGAAGUCACUCUGAAAACUCAGGUGUACACAUGACACCUACUUAUACAAUAAAGCACACACUCUCAGGCUGCAUGAAGUACUGUCGCAGACAGGACUGCAAACCCUCUCAGGGGUGAGAAUGGCUGGCAGCAGUGCUCAGGAGAGGGAUGUGACAGGAGUCAGCUCCUAGGAAGUGCUGGCGCCCACGCACCUGUGAGCUCCUGGAGUCUGACUCACCAGGUGGAGAAACAGAGGCUGUAGAAAUUCAGCACUUUCCCAAGAGUACAAGCCCAAAGUCAUCCUGACUCCUGAAAUCCCGCUCUUCAUCCCUCUGCCACUCAGUUUACCAUUACAGCCCUCGCUCACCUGGGCGCGAUGGCGAAAACAUCGGGGUGCAGGUCGGCCAGGCCCACGCGCUCCUGCUCGAAGCCCCGCAGGGACUCGACCCAGGCCUGCACUGGGCGUCGAUGAGCGGGUACCGGGAGCUCGACUUUGCGCAGCACGGGCUCCGGGAGACCUGGAGCGAUUGCGGGGGUCAGGGGUUAGGGUCAAGGGUCAGACCUCUCUGUCGCCGCCCUUCCUGGAGCCACCCCGAUUGCCUUACCCUCGUUCGCCACCUGCUCCGGGUUCUCGGUCGGACGCGCUGCCUCUUCCGCCAGCGAACUCAGGCCCUGCAAGGGGUGGGCGAAAGUGAGAGACGACCCCGGGACACCCCCAAAUUUCAUCCUUUGACCACGCCUACAGCCCCUGGGCCUCACCUGGCAGCCCGUAGGCCGAAGCCAGGCCCGCGCCCCGGCCCGG
rnacentral:antisense_RNA from 1 species